UACGUAGGCAGCGAGCGUUGUUCGGAAUUACUGGGCGUAAAGAGUGUGUAGGCGGUGCUCUAAGUUCGGUGUGAAAUCUCCUGGCUCAACUGGGAGGGUGCGCCGGAAACUGGAGUGCUUGAGCGUGGGAGAGGAAAGCGGAAUUCCUGGUGUAGCGGUGAAAUGCGUAGAUAUCAGGAGGAACACCUGUGGUGUAGACGGCUUUCUGGACCAUAGCUGACGCUGAGACACGGAAAAGCGUGGGUAGCAAACAGG
rnacentral:rRNA from 1 species